CAGUCGCCGCGAUAAUACGUAGGGUGCAAGCGUUAAUCGGAAUUACUGGGCGUAAAGCGUGCGCAGGCGGUUCGGAAAGAAGGAUGUGAAAUCCCAGAGCUUAACUUUGGAACUGCAUUUUUAACUACCGGGCUAGAGUGUGUCAGAGGGGGGUGGAAUUCCACGUGUAGCAGUGAAAUGCGUAGAUAUGUGGAGGAACACCGAUGGCGAAGGCAGCCCCCUGGGAUAACACUGACGCUGAGGUGCGAAAGCGUGGGGAGCAAACAGGAUUAGAUACCCGUGUAGUCCCUGUCUCUUAUAC
rnacentral:rRNA from 1 species